CCCCGCGCUCCCAACAAAUCGACUCCGCGGCGAGCGCCGGCAUCUCAUGAUCUCAUGGCCCCGCGGGACGGCGCCGGCCGAUGAGGUCACAGCCCCGCGUCCCGGGCCGCCCCGGGCUGCGCGCCGCCGCCUCCGGGCGCCCCGCGCGGGUCCCGACCCCGAGCCCGCGCCUCCUCGGCCUCCGCGGACAAAGGAGGUCCCUGAGGCGAAGGGCAGAGCUACCGUCUGCCUCCUUCCCACGUGAGCCCUCUGACUUUCCCCUUCGUCCCCUAGCUGUCCCCAACACCUCCGCCCCUUUGUCACAGCUCCUCUCUGCUCUGAUGGGAACAGUGAUCAGGGCCACGCUUGGCCGGUGCCCGCGAUGUGUUGAGCACUUUAUAUUAAAAGUCUCUGUUCCACAUGACAAACCCACCGGAGAGGUAUUAUCGGGACUCGUCUGCGGAUGAGAACGGGGCUCCGAGAGGGGAAGUGACUUCCUGCAGAGCUGGGAUUUGAUUCCACGGCACAGCCUUUCUAUGACUCCACACCACCUUCUCCAGAAAAAGAUGAAGCCUUCCCGAAGAUGGAAGUCUGAGCCUCGUGGUCCAACUACUUGACUCGCCGUGAAGUCCCUCUGGUGCUCACUCAGAGCCUAUUAUUUCUACGUUUACUACAGUACUGACAAGCUCGACGGUGCGGUUUCCCGACUAGCAGUGUCCUUGGUACCAGAGAGGAGAGGGGAGGAGGUGCUUGUUGACUGGCCCUGAUCUAACAUCUGCUGCCAAUCCUCCUCUUUUUGCUUGAGUAAGAUUG